UAACGCGUGAGCAAUCUGCCUUUGGAUGGGGGAUAACAGCCGGAAACGGCUGCUAAUACCGCAUAAUGCAACGGGAUCGCAUGGUUCUGUUGCCAAGGAUUUAUUGUCCAAAGAUGAGCUCGCGUCUGAUUAGCCAGUUGGCGGGGUAACGGCCCACCAAAGCGACGAUCAGUAGCCGGACUGAGAGGUUGAACGGCCACAUUGGGACUGAGACACGGCCCAGACUCCUACGGGAGGCAGCAG
rnacentral:rRNA from 1 species